GACGAACGCUGGCGGCGUGCUUAACACAUGCAAGUCGAACGGAAAGGCCCUGCUUUUGUGGUGUGCUCGAGUGGCGAACGGGUGAGUAACAAGUGAGUAACCUGCCCUUGACUUUGGGAUAACUUCAGGAAACUGGGGCUAAUACCGGAUAGGAGCUCCUGCUGCAUGGUGGGGGUUGGAAAGUUUCGGCGGUUGGGGAUGGACUCGCGGCUUAUCAGCUUGUUGGUGGGGUAGUGGCUUACCAAGGCUUUGACGGGUAGCCGGCCUGAGAGGGUGACCGGCCACAAUGGGACUGAGAUACGGCCCAGACUCCUAUGGGAGGCAGCAGUGGGGAAUAUUGCGCAAUGGGCGGAAGCCUGAUGCAGCAACGCCGCGUGCGGGAUGACGGCCUUCGGGUUGUAAACCGCUUUCGCCUGUGACGAAGCGUGAGUGACGGUAAUGGGUAAAGAAGCACCGGCUAACUACGUG
rnacentral:rRNA from 1 species